CACCAUGAUAAAGAUGGCAAUAAACUGAGUUGCUUUAUUUAGUUCAUAGCAAUGUGAAUAACAACCCAGUGUGCCUUGCAGUCACACAGAAUUGUUAUGAUUCUGAGCUCAACUGCCUAUAAGGUUAUUGCCAUUUUCAUUUCCAUUUUUAAAACAAUAAAACUGAAAAAGAAAUAAUGGAACUGAGACACAGCAAAAGACGUUGAGAAACAUCCUUCAAAGUCACAAAGGAAUUCAAGAAGGAGGAAGAUGAUUCAAAUCUGAAAUAUUUAUAGAAGGAUUCCUAGCAGACAGGGAAGGAUUUUAUUUAUUUAUUUUAGAGAGCAGAGAGCCCUACACAGGGCUAGAUCCCAGGACCCCAGGAUCAUGACCUGAGAUUAAGGCACGCGCUUAACCAACGGAGCCACCCAGGAGAUGCCCCCAUUUCUUUUUAUAAUCAUAUAAUUUUGGAUCUUUAUGUGUAAAAUUCAAAAGUUAUAUCGGUUUUUGAGAAGAAAUGGGAAAAAUGUUAAAUGCUCUUGUCAUUUCUGGAUUCUUUAUGAAACUACAUAUAUCAUCUUUGAAUUUCAAGUUUCUUAAGAUGGAGAGGACCUCUGGGGAACCGGACAAAGUGGCACCAGAGCACCUGCUAGCAUUAAUCAUGGGUCUCCAAUCAACGGUGUCCACCCUCUCAGGUGAACACUGCCCUAAAUUUUUGCCCUUUAAAACCCUCACUUGCAAGCCAUUGGGGAGUUCAGGACUUUAAAGGAUUAGCUCCCCAUUCUCCUGGGUAGUGCCACACCAAUAAAUAGCUUGUCUCUCUUCAUUGCAAAAGCUUGCUAUCCAUUUUUAUUGGCUUGCUGUGAAUCAGGUGGACAAACUCUCAUUUGGUGAAGCUACACUAAGAGAACCUGUCUUAAGAGUUCUCAUCACACACAAAAGAAUUGUAAGUCUGAGAGGUGAUAAAUGUUAAUUAUACAUACUGUAAUCAUUUUGCAAACAUAUACCUAUGUCAAAUCAUUAUGUUGCAUAAUACAAUGUUAUAUGUCAUUUAUAUCUCAAUAAAACUGGAAAAAAUAUCAUG